GCCGGCAUGGCGAAAUGGCAGACGCAAGGGACUUAAAAUCCCUUGGGAGGUGACUCCCGUGCGGGUUCGAGUCCCGCUGCCGGUAC
rnacentral:tRNA from 1 species